GCGGAAGUUGGCGCAGUCGGGCAGCGCGUAAGUCUCAUAAUCUUAAGGUCGUGAGUUCGAACCUCACACUUCGCA
rnacentral:tRNA from 1 species